rnacentral:tRNA from 1 species
CAUCAAGAAGCUAAAAGCGCUAACCUUUUAAGUUAGAGAUCGGAGGUGUCAGACCUCCCUUGGUGA